rnacentral:lncRNA from 1 species
CUAGGAGCUGAGCGUUUAUGGCCGCUUGGUCUUGACCUACAUCUCCCAUAUUUUCUGAAAAAGAAACUCAAAGAAAGAUCAAAGGUAAAAGGGUUUAAACAGAGGCUUGGGUCGGGUACUAGAGUAUCGACCAAGGCAAAGACAUAAAUGCGUAAUUAAAUUUGAAAAUCGAAUCAAGAUUAAAAGGAAAGUGGGAAUAUUUUUUUUUAAUUUUUUUUUUCGAAAACUUGGAAAGAAAGCAAAACUAAUUAAUUUUUUAUUUAUUUUUAAAUGCAAAAAUCAAAACUUGGAGAACAAUCCGAAAAAAUUCAAAAAAGGAAAGUAAAUAUAUUUUUUUUGAAGUGCGACGGCUAGGGUUCAGAAAGAACUUAGUUUCACAGGAAACUUCAGCUCUGAUACCAAAAUGUUGUAGGCACGGAUCGGGAUGAUCGGACGAUACGGACUGAGGGUUGCUGCGGUUCAGUCUCGGCUAGGCUGGACAGUUCUGGCUGGGUCUUCUCUUAUAUGCGGUUGUACCUGAAACAAAUAUGAACCUUUUUAUGAGUUUUCUACAAAGUUAAGAACAGAAACAGAGAGGCAAAUGGAUGAAUGAUAAAUAAGCAAGAUAUGAUUUUUAUGGGUUUUAAAAUAUAGAUGAAGGAAAUC